AAACGCUUUUCAGUUUCAACAGAAUGAAUGACGCUUCCCCUUACACCUUUCCUUCUUCCUUUUCUCCUUCUCUCAGCCAUCUCUAGGAUUCUAAGUUUGUUUAAAACCGUCUCUCAGCCUCUGAUUUCCAGCACCUCCCUCGCCCUUCCACCGCCGUCUGGAACACCCUCAUCAUCGGCCCCUUUCAUGUCUUCCGUUUUCCUUCGACCGUGUGAGCAGAACCGAAACAGAGCACGAGCGAGGCGAGGCAGAGCACGAACGAGGCGAAGCAGAUGGAGAUCAAUUUUUCAGAUUUGGUGCGCCUUUGCUGGGAUUAUGGGGUUCCAGUUUGUGCAUUGAUGUCAUUCUUCUACAUUGUUCUUGAUUGUGAAAAGGCAGUAUAGUUCAAAUGCAGUUGGGAGCAUGAAAGCCUUCGAUGAUGAGCUAACUUACAUUAGAUGUUAGGAGCAAGUGAAUGUUGGAUUGGAGAUAUAAUCCGUAGCUUGCCUUGCUUGCAUCAUGUUAAUGUCAUGGCUUUUUUUUGAAAACUGAAGUAGCAGUGUUUAUGAGCUAAUGGUAUCAUGGAGGUAGCAGUGUUUUUGUAGCCGAUCACAAUACUUCCAAACUUUGAGUAAACCAAAGGCUCAAUAUAUUCUGUGCAAGCUUGAUUAAUGAUUUCUGUAGUACAUUAGUACCCUCUUUUUUAAUGUGCAGGUUCAGAUGAGACAGGUGCAGUAAUUUUUGCAUUCUCAUGGUUUCAUGUAUUCCUUUCUCAAAUUAGGAUUUCGGUGGCAGACACGACUGCGCAGGCCUCAGCCAAAACAUUUUCCAGUUGCUCAAUUUUGAGUUUGGGCUGAAUUGAGAGGAUUCAGAUCAAGUUCCAGCGGUUGCAAGUUGCAUAUGGUUGGGGUUAGUAGUUAUGGUGUAAGCGGAUGAAGCAGUGAAUAAAAAUGGUGAAGGGGCAGCUUCUAAGGCUCUAUUUAACUGCACCUAAUAUGAAGAUGCAAUUAUAAGAUUGGAUAAUGAUUUUUUAGUCUUGGAGAGAUCGUGUGUAGAAGAUGUUUCAAAUGUUGAAAAACCAAAGUAGGCCCCUUUCACAAAUUUAUUUGGAAUCAGAAUGCUACAAGUGGAAGGUGUAUGAAUUGUUGUUGCAUCCAUUAUGUGGGGAUUGGAAGGUGUAUGAAUUGUUGUUGCAUCCAUUAUGUGGGGAUUGAAUCCUAAAAGAUGCACUUGGUCACUGCGGUCCAGUCUAUAGGAUUAACACAGGUUCCACUUCUAAUCGCAUCAAUAGGAUUGCAAGGUGUGCAUCCUCCUCCCAUCAUUUUAUUGAGGAAAAGGCUAUAAAACAACCUUGAGAGGAAGAAAUUCAAAGGGUCAGGGCAGCCCGGUAAAUGUGUAGUACUUCUACAUAGAUCAUGUCAUAUUUUCUCAUUCUCACUUUGGUCUGAUGUAGUUCUCAUAGUAGUUGAUAUCAAUUUGUCUUUAAUGGACAUAAUUUUAAUCUUUCAAUAUCUAUUGAUUUCAAUUUCAGUUUUA